UGGGUCCUCCAGCAGAGCGUCGAGCUGGUGGAACAGUAAGGAACAACAGGCGGGGCAUAAAAUGUGUCGUGACUUCGCCCACAAAAACUGGCUUCUGUUCUAUAAGGAGGAUGGCAACCAGCUGGAGGUCCUGGAUGUGCUGGAGGGACAGGUUCACUCCAUCUCCCUUCCCAUCAACCUGAAGUCUGUCUUCCUGGUGGCCGAG